GCAAAAGGUCCAAAUACUAUAAAAGCAUCAGAUCCCAUUUGAUCUUGGAAGCUAAUCAGAGUCAACCCUGUUUAAUACUUGGAUGGAAAAUCACCAAAAAUAACAUGUGCUGUAGGCU
rnacentral:rRNA from 1 species